UAUUAACCUUCCGGUGUCCUGGUGAGCGUAUUAUGCACUCUUUGCACUUCACGUUAUAAAAAGUUAUAUUAUUUUUCACAGUUUUUUAGUACGUUAGAAUUCAAGAGUUGUUCAUUUUUGCAAGAUUUUUAAAAUUCUGACCCAGCCACUAAAAUCAGCACACUGUAAACAAUAGAAAAUUACUACACU